GGGGCUGGCGCUGGGUGGGCCCGGCAGCCCCGGGGGCAGCGUGCGGCUUGCCGGAGCUGAGGGCGUGGUGCCGAGAGGUGCCGCUGCUCCGGAGCUGCGGGAGUUCCCCGCGGCCUCCCGCCGACCAGCGGCACUGGGAAGCGGCAGCACGGAAAGCAGAUCCCUACCGCUGUCUCUAAGGAAAACGGGGCCAAGGGAUCACCCCGAGUGACCGCAUGCAUUGCAAAGUGCUUCGGGCUAGUUCCUCAUUAUGCUGCAGUUGUCUUCGCAGAGGCUCGUUCUGGCGCUGUCGGCAGUGCUCCUUCGGCUCGUCGGUGCCUUCUGAAUUCUCAUCUCGGCCCGCAAAAUGGUUGGGCAAGAGCUCGGUCCCGUCUUGGAAAUUUGCAUAAUUGUUUUUCCUACCUGGAGCAGUUGGAGGCAGUGUUAAAGUGCAAGAUACCGUGCAUGUCGCAUCAAUGGAGUCGGUACUGCAGGAUCACAGCAAGGCACACGCUUGAGAUAUGGGUCACUUCAAGGCCUUUACAGGGAAAAGAGCAUGGCACAAACGUAUGAUACACUUACUUAUUUUGAGAGCAGCUCCAACACCAACAACAAUAAUACACAAAUAUUUUUGUGAGGUUUUGUAAAGCUGAUCUAGCACAAAGUAAAAUUUAGCUAACAAUCCUCAAUAUUUUUAGUUUUAAUAAUUUAUUCUAGCACUAGUUUGUUAACUACCCUGUUAUCAGGGUAGCUAACAUGGCAGUAGGUUGUAUUGAAUACAGAUGUGAAAUGUUGUGUUGGGCCAUUAGAAAGGGAAUCAAUUUGCUCAGCAACACAGCAGACAUUUUCUAAAUGCCUUGACUCUAGUGGAAUAGAGGAGUGGAUAGGGUAGUGUUUCUAUCUCUACUCAUUGUGAAAACAAUUUUAUGGAUUGUACACUUCUCACAAUUGCUCUUGGCUUCCUAUUUAAAUUUUAACAUUUGAAAAUAUUGUUCUACAUUGUUUGACUGAUACAUUAUUGCACAAUACAAAGUGGUAAAAUAUGAGUCUAGGAAAAUGCAACGAAAACUAACAAGAUUUUUACUUCCAGACUUAAGUCUUGAUGAAAACUACAGGUUAUCUUAGCAUCUUGCAGAAAAUUCCACUUCAGACUUUUAAAAAGUGUAACAAAAUUAAAGACACAAUAUUUUAUUUUAA